rnacentral:misc_RNA from 1 species
GUGAAUCAUCGAAUUUUUGAACGCAAAUUGCACUCUCUUCGAAGAGUAUGCGUGUUUGAGGUUCAGCCUAAAAAAAAUCGACAUACUUGCUGAUACUUUGUAACAUUCGUCGGAGGCCUGGGCAUCUUGAGCCUUUGGGUUCAAGCGGCUUAACUUUCUUUUUACCAUUUCAAGACCGCUUCUAAGAUUUUAUUUUCUUAUACGGUUAAGAGAUCGAUCUUUAUUA